GGAAGUUCUCAGGGCGGGGUGCGAUUCCCCACCGGCGGUGAUGGACUCCGGGCGAUCCCGGUGUUCGAGCCCGCGAGCGCCCCACCGCGAGGUGGGGGACAGCAGAUUCCGGUGCGAUCCCGGAGCCGACGGUCAUAGUCCGGAUGAAAGAGAACUGCA
rfam:Tsukamurella pulmonis strain DSM 44142 genome assembly, contig: Ga0074760_12